ensembl:lncRNA
CAGCUGAAAGGUUUCUUUGAUGUGUGGGUCAUGAUAUGUCUCUUCAGCUUUUUAAUGCAACCAAAGGUUUUGUUACAUUCACAACAGAUCGAAAGUUUCUCACUUGUUCUACAUCUUGAAUCAUUAAGCUUAACAGAGCUUAGCUUGAACAAAAGCUUCAUCAUUAUUAUGAAAGUUUAAACCUGAUUGAGGAUCUCUGGUCUCAUUCAAAUCAUCGCAUCAGUUCUGGUACUGAAGGUCCAUCUGGACCUGUAUACUCUUUAAUAUAGGGGGGCUCUGGGUCGUCCUGCCACUCUUCUUUAGGCACAAACAGCUGCUGGAGGUCUGUGGAUGAUAAUAAAAUACAAAUACACAAUUAACUCAAAUAUUAAUUACCAUCCACUCAACUAGUUCAUUCUUUUAUGCCUUGACCUGGGCAUUAUGGUACAGAUGUUCAUUUCAAAGACGUUAAAACUUAUUUUGAUAGGUCGACCCCUUGAAUUUUUGAAAUAUUGUGGAAAAAACCCUUUUUUUAAAAUAAAAAUGUAAAACUAGAUCUAGACAGAUAAGAUAAAUUAUACAAAAUACAUUUCAGUUUAUUCUCAUUGUGUCCCUGAUGCCUUCUUUCUUAUACUGGGCACAACAUCAUUUAAAAUAAAGUAGUGUAGCGACCCUGUUCAGCAGUGGGUUCUGCCUAUUCACGUCAGUCAGUCAGCUGGCGGGUGGUCAAAGGACAUGGCCAGAAGUUUCGACGGAGCUACGAGGGACGCAAGGGCAUGUCUGAGAGAGUCUACGGUGAGGAUGGCUAGAGCCGCCAGCAUGAGUCCCGCACCGGAGUUUCCCGUGGUUUCUCCGGGGAAUGUAGCGUUAAACUACAAUGGCGGCGCCCGUCACUCAUGUGCAGUCCUGGCGGUGAAAACGCUGAAAUAUGACGGUAGGACGCCUUGGGAAGCUUUCCUGGCUCAAUUUGAAUUGCUGUCGCAUGCGGGGGAUUGGUCCACAGAGACUAAGGCACUACAGCUGGCGUUGUGUCUAACGGGGGAUGCGCUGUCAUGCCUGCUGCUGCUGAGCCCGGAGGAUUUGCGGUGUUACCUAGCGCUGGUGGGGGCCCCCCAGAGCGAUAUGGACAGUGUUCGCAACCGGGACUUCUUCGCAAUGAACUGACAAUUGCUGCAGAAACCGGGGGAGCCGCUGCGGGCACUGGCCAAUGAGAUUGUCACGGUGGGCGUAUUCCCACAUGCCCCCUGAAGUACAGAGCGAGUUGGCGCAGGACCAGUUCAUUAGGGCGAUUAUCCCAGCGGAGCUGUGGGUCCAGGUCCAGCUGCAGCACCCACAGUCGUUGCAGGCGGCCUUAGAGAUGGCCGUGGAGAGAGAGAAUGUGUGUGGUGCAGCUGCUGGAGACUACCAUAGAGAGGGACCACCUAUGGUGAGGGUAGCAAUGGCGGGCCCCACAGAGACCACCGUGGAUGACUGAAGUGACGGAGCUGAUUAGGGCUGUGUCACUACAACAAUCACACCGACCACGACCCGGACCCAGGGAUGCUAGCGGAUCAGGGGUCAGGGAGUGCUGUCUCUGGCGAGUGGUGGCGUACUUCAGCCGGGCAUUCAACAAGGCUCAACGUAGAUACUGUGUCACCCGCAGGGAGCUCUUGGCAGUGGUGCUGUCAAUCAGGCACUUCCGGUAUUACCUAUGUGGCCGGAACUUCACGGUGAGGAUAGACCACUCGGCCCUGCAGUGGCUCAUGUCAUUCAAAAGAGCCAGAGGGGCAGGUGGCCAGGUGGGUUGGAGGAGCUCCAGGCUAUCGACUUCAACGUGGUGCACUCGGCUGUGACACGCCACACUAAUGCUGACGCGCUCUCACGACGAACCGUGUGUCGCGGAAGGGUGCCCUCCUGUGACCGGAGAGAGACCCGCGAGCAGGAACUGCAAGAGGAGGAGGGGGACGGUGUGGCAGUUCGGCGGCUGGAGGAGGUUGGGAGCCAGGAGCGGCAGGCAGUGGACCUGUCUGAAUGGAGGCAACACCAGGGACGGGAUGUGGGCCGACAGCCGGCAGUGCAGUGGCUGGAGGCACAGCGGCGCCCCCCUUGGGAAGAGAAGGCAGUGUUCUCCAAAGCAACCAAAGGUUUGUGGUCCCAGUUUCAGUCUCUGAGCCUGAGUCAGGGCGUGCUGCAGCGGGCCUGGAAGGAGCCAGCAACAGGGGAGGAAAGGUGGCAGAUGGUGGUUCCCAAGGUCCUGCGGGUUUCGGUGCUGGAAGCCAUGCAUGGAGCUGCAGGGUCCGGACAUUUUGGGGUUUACAAAACACUGAGGCGUCUCCGCCAAGGCUUUUAUUGGGGCCAACGCAGGAGGGACGUGGAGGAUUUCUGUCGCCGCUGUGACGCCUGUGUGGCACGAAAGGGUCCCCCAAAUCGCUCCCACGCCCUGCUGCAGCAGUUCCCGGUGGGGCCUCCAUGGAAAGGGUGGCCGUGGUUGGUCCACUGCCCUUGCCGUUGGUGCUAAUGGCUUAUCGUUCUGCAGUUCAGGAGAGCUCCUCCUGUUCUCCCCCCCUGCUCAUGCUGGGAAGAAAGCUCCGCACGCCGGCAUAGAUGGCUUUUGGACGCCCUCCUGAGCCCCCAGAAACCCCCCCAGGCCCCGAGUACGCCAGGAGGCUGCAGGACCGCCUCGAAUCAGCCCAUGUUUUUGCCCGGAAACAGCAACAGAGUGCUGGUGUGAGACAAAAACGCAACUACGACAUGAGGGAAAGAGGAACGCCGUUUCGCGCGGGAGAGCUGGUCUGAGUCUGCAACCCUCAGCGUAAGAAGGGUCAGUGCCCAAAGCUGGACAAUCAUUGGACAGGUCCCUGCACAGUGUUAGAGAGGGUGGGUGAGGUUGUGUACCGGGUGCAGCUACCGCCUAAGGGCAGGAGAGUGGUGCUACACAGAGACCGGCUUGCCCCGUACCUAGGGAUCGCCUCCCCAAUGUCAACCGGGACACGAGGGACGGACUACACCCCAAUGCUACAGUACAUACUGCCCUCUUUGCCUGUUGUGUCUCCUACCACUCUAUUCUUAUAUAUAGAUGUCCUGAACAGAUUAUGAACUCAAAGGCAUUGAAUGAAGUAGCUAUUUUUGGGUGCUUCCCAUUCCUUCAGGUUCAGUAUCCAUUGACGUGUUGGCCUUCACAGCUCUUGCUGUGUACUAACAUAAUCUAACAAAUGCAUCUCUUUGGUUCAAUAAUGGUCCAUGGCGAUCGACCUGUUGAGGGCGGGGUAGUAGUAGAACUGCCAAUGAAAAACCGCAAUAUGUGAUAAACUACCACCUAUACAUUUUCUGCAUGAAUGCACGAGCGGGCAAGGUCCGCAAGUCUCUGAUCAAGGAUUUGUGGCCCCAGGAGGCCAUUCUGGACUUCCUAUUUGCAAGUGCACCUGAGGGAGAAGGCGGGUUGGAAACACCUGAAUCCCUGGACAUUCCAAGGUGUGGGGAUACCUAUAAAAUUCGCUCAUGUUAUAUGGUGUCCAUUGCUUUCAUUUGUCAUGUUCUACAAGUGUUUCAACAACUUUAAAGUUGUUAUCUGUAAAUAUUGUCAUGAAUUUGCUUCUACACAUUUGAUUGUUAUGUAAAUGUAACAUUUGGUCACAUUUUUCAGGGCGUCAGUGAUAAAAAUUCCCGGUAAUCUUCCAACACGGCCCCCAGGGGGCACCAGAAUGCUUCAACAGAUCACUUGACGAGGCACACUUUUCCUGCAAGACUUUCGUCUCCUCCUCAGAGAUCACCUCUUUGUGGUUGAUUUGAGUCUCUAUAAAGUCGUUUUGUAUUUAUUUGUAGUUUUUUUUGUUUCUAGAUGGAGUAAUUCUUGUAAUUGUGGUUGUCUUUGUUAUCAUUUGUUUCCUUUUGUCAUUCAUUUUGUCUCUCUAUGAAUUUGUUUUCUCCAUAAUCCAAGUAAGACAGCAUUGUGUAUUGCAUACUUUCCAUGGAUGGGCGAGACUGUGGGCCAGUGGGGAGCACGGUCGUCCUCCAAUCAGAGUGUUGUCGGUUAAAUCCCAGCCCCGGCUAACCUGCAUGUCGAUGUGUCCUUAGGCAAGACACUUAACCCAACAUUGCUUCUGUAGCUGCGACUACAGUGUAUGAAUGGUAGUGAUUUUGCAGGUGUUUGAUGGGCAGUUGUCACUGUGGAUGGUUCUCCUGUCAUCAGUGCAUGAAUGGGUGUGAAUGGGUGAAUGAUGUCAUGUAGUCUUUGAUUGGUCGGAAGACUAGAAAAACGCUAUACAAGUACAGUCCAUUUACCAUUACCAUGUUUUCAGAGGGAAAGACCGGCGCAACAAUCCACAAAAUGUGGAACACAAACUUCUGAUGUCCAACCAAACACCCAAUUAUUUAUGAUGCUUUACAAUACUGAAUAAGAAAUAUGAUUUAGAAAAUACAGCCUGAAAUGUAUCAGAUUGUUAGUUCCCUGCACUAUAGGGAAAAUUAAAGUCAAAUCUGCAUAAUCCUUAAAAAAUGAGUGUAUGAGGAAGUUUACCGUGCAUGUCUGUACAUUCGUCUACUUUGGUUUGGAUGUACAAUAAAGCAGAAAAGCUUGUGGAAAACCACUAUACUGAAAGCAGACAUCCCUGUGUGUGAUUACUGCAACAUAGAAUUACAGAUGAGGUCGACAGCACAUUCAGUUCAAGCAUUGACGAGUUCCAGCCAGUUGACCUUGUUGCUCACAGUCUGUUCCACGCCAUACACAGAGCUCCCAUAAUGCACGGCUAGUGAGCCAACUCGGCUGCUUUCUUUUUUUCCCUCGACUGGAGAAAACAGUACACGUGUAUCACCAAUAAGUACAGGCAAUAAUCCACCAGAGGGGGCUCUACAUGGAGGUUGAUUGAGAGACAGCCGGACUUAAUGAGACAUCACCUGACGAGCAAAGUCCAAAGGGACAAACGGACAAUACAAAACCCAGACAUACACAUGUGGCUUGUAAUUAUGUAGCAUUAACGUUUAUUCAUAGAGCACAGUUCAGAAAGUGAGACGAUUGAAAUUGCUAUAUGAAAUAAAUUAUUUUGGAGGAAACUAACUUUAGCAAAUCCAUUUAUAUUAGCCCAGCCUGCUGUGUAUGUUUAGCUGCAUCUUUUACUGUAUAUUCGUGUUGUUGCAGACUGCAACAACAGUCGGCAUUUAUACAUAGCUUUUUGGGAUUCUUAUUUACAUUGCAACUAAAUCUGCUUUAUAUAUUCAUAAAGUCAUGGAAAUCUCUUUGUACAAUAAUGGAGCUCUGAUACAGUACAGACUGGCAAGAAUUGAUUCGAGAAAUUAUUGUAGUGUUUGCAUUGUGUGUAUUUGUAUCAUCUUUACCUUUAAGGUAUUUUCAAUGUUUUUUCUUUAUUAUCAUUGCAAAUAUUCACACACAUUUGUUGUGUGUGCGUGUUUGUUGGAACAUAGUCUUGUCUAGUCUUGAACAUUUGUUGGAAUAGUCCAAUGUUUGAUUGUAGCCAACUACCCAUGCCUGCUGCCUGUCUACAUUCACUAUCAGUAAAGCUUAAAAGAGAACGGGGUUAAAUAAUAAUAUGCCCAAUCUCUCCUCAACUAAUUCAGCCUGUUAAAAAUUAGAUGAAGGCUGCUGGAGAAAUGUACCUCCAAAAGCUGAUAGGCCGUUUGCACUUCCAAAACUGGAGAACAAAGGAUGCCAACAUUUUACCGUCAUGUGGAUUAUUUUCUUUUUUUUGACAGUGUAAAAGUAAUUCAUGUUCAGCGGAUUAGACGCUUACUUAAAAGGGCGACACUUUAGCAGCUGCGGGGGUCCUUGAGGGGACCUUUUUGCGCUAUAAGCCGAUAACUUUGAUGAUAACUCUGCACCUUGGUGGACCCACUGCUCCACGCUACCAAAGAAAAGUUAAUAUAAGUAAUAUAGCCCAGAACACAAAGAUUCUAGCAAUAUUCUUAUCAUUUCUCUCCGUUAGACCUCCACCUUUUCAUCCCUAAAACCAACACCAAACUCACAAACCACAUUGUCACUUAUGAAUCAAAACUUUUCCUUACUUUUGAUUGCAAUCCAAACGUGAUACAUCCUGAUUUAAUCCAGUCUUUGAGAGGUUGCGGGUGUUUAGGGAAUCGGACUCCACUUUCACUAAGUUACGUAGUUCUGAUGCGACGGGAGAUGCAUGUUAGUGACGUCAGUCUGCAGUGGCCAAACUAUAAUUUCUCUCAAAAUGGACUACAAAGAAGCAUCUUAGGUGCCUUCGUCCAUGUGCUAUCACAGUGCAGAGUCAUGCAGACGACGUAAGACAACCAGGUUGAAAGUAUUACUUCAUUAAAUUAAGGUUGCAGCGUGAAUGAGUUAUGCUAAAGGUUAGUUACAUUAUCUGCGUUUCUCAGUCAUGAUCAUUAUUGCACAUGAACAGCCGAACGAUAUUUCACUAUUUAAAUAUUGCGGGACAAACUAUCUCCUUUCCUUUCAUAACGGAUGGUCCAGUGCUUCUUAAGCUAAAGAAGCUAAAGUAGGGAAGCAAUGAAGCUCCUUUCCUUCUCAGCAUUAGAGAAUUCAAACAGCUCUUAUCAUGGCAGCAUUUACACUACUUCCGGGUCAUUUCACUCAGUUAGGAAUCUUCCUAAGAACAUUUGACAAUUCGAAUCCAGCUAAAGGUUCAAAAUGCUUGGUUGGUCACAAAGCGUCGUGCUCUGAACCCGUCACCACGUUUUCGACUCUGAGGGGCGAUGAGAUCAGUCAGUGCACCCCAUGUGUGCCUAGCUGGAUUCCAUUGGCCCCAACGAGUCCAUAGAGGGGAGUUUAAAGUCACCUAGGAGUUUAGGAAACCAUCCCUGUAAAACUGUGAGGCUUUUGCUAAAACCUCUCUCAUUCCGUUCCACUUCACUCAGGGAUUACUUCAAUGAUUAUUUUAGCCUUCCAUCUCCAUAUUUUAGGGACAAUGACCCCUUGUUAGUAGUAUAUUCUUUUAGGCAAAAAAAAACAAAUCAUUGGAUGGCUGACCUGCCUGGUCUCCUAAAAAACAAAUUCCAAUGCAAUAAAACGGCAUUGUUUUUAUUGUUUUGAGGGAAGCAUAUUUUCUUCCACAUCUCAAUCACAAAUACGUGUUCUCGUGUGUCGUGAUUCAUUUAAAGAAGUCCUCUCAGGGAUGAGGUCAGACUGGAUGGGCAGGUCAUCCAUAGACUGUGCAAUGGCACCCAGAGGUUUCUGAGGAGGUCUAGUCCUGGCUAUGACGACACCGCCUAACUCCCAUCAGCCCAAAGUGGGUAAAAGAAGAGGAUCGUUGGUGCUGGGAAAGGCCCGGGUCAUACGGCAGUGAGAACAACUGGCGAUUAGCCACUUGGGAAGGCACCCACCUGUCACAUAAAGCAGACACACCGUCAAGUCUGCCAAACUGCCAAAGAUCUUAAUAUAAUUCAAAUGUGUGAGUUAGAUAGGGAUGGUCUGCAGUUACCACAAACAGCGAUAUUGGCAUGAGGGAAAUUUUCAUUGUGGAGAAAAAGAUCUUUUCAACACAGGACUUUGUGUUGCUUCAACCCAAGCAGCGUGCGUUUGUGUGUUUUGGGGGAAAGGCCUUUACAACAGACCCAAAAGGAGGGGGAGUGGUUUUAGAUUCUUUGCAAUACUGUUUCUUUUUUUUACUUUGAUACUUUACUUUGGAUUUUUGCAUCUACUGAACAGAUGUGACCAUAUUUGGAAUGCAGAGGAGUGACAUAGAGUUACUGUAUAUGGCUUUAAAGUAAAUUUUGUGACCGUAAAUUCCUUCUUACAAUGUUAAUAAUAAUAAUACAUUUUAUUUAUAUUGCGCUUUUCAAAAUAAUGAAAUGCUCAACACUUGAUUCUUAUUUACUGAGGGGAUAUAUCAAGUGAGAAGUAGAGUCCUUUUCUCAUAGAUUUUUGGACAUCUUGACUUCAUUUUGAAACCAGUGGAGUCGCCCUCAGAUGGCCUUUAGUUUCGUGGCUAGAAAGCCUGGCCAGAGCUGCUACACAUCUAUCAAUCAUGACCUAUUCUACAACGGGUCAGCAGGUCUGUAGAGAGAAUCAUCGGCUCCAGCCUGCCCCCCACACUGGACCUGACACCUCCAGGGUCAGGACACGUGCAGGAAAGGUCACUGCAGACCCUCCACACCAUGUUCACAACCUGUUCAGACUCCUCCCCUCUGGCAGGCACUACAGAGCUCUACACGCCAAGACCACCUGACACAGGAACAGCUUCUUCCUACAGGCCGUCUCUCUUAUGAACAAUUAACCAGUCACACUGCACCUCCAUUUGCACUUCAUUAUAUUAUACUAUUAUAUUAACGAUUAUUUAUUUAUACUUGGAUGUAUUCAUAUUUAUAUCUAUAUUGCGUAGCUCUUUAAUAUUCACCUUCACUUGUUCUACUUUAUUUGUAAGUGGAUUUAAAUUCCAUGUAUGUGUAAGCAAAACACACUAUUUAUUUUUCACAUGUAAUCUCUUUAGGAUACAUGUUUUUAUUGUGUACUCUAGGGACUUGAACUCCACUGCUGUGUUUAAUAUAUGGAUUUUCUAAUACUCAUUUGUGUGUCAGGAUGUCCUGCACCAAUGUGUGCAGAAUGCCUGUCCAGGCUUGUGUGGAUGAGUUUGUAUAGGCAGAGGUCAAACGAGUGUAACUUAAUGGGCCUCCAGGUGUGCGUAUAUGUGUGUGCGUGUGUUUUAAAGCUUGGCUGGUCUCAGAGUAUUCCUGUCCUCUAGGUGAUGUUAAAUGAACAUGUAAACUUUUUGUGUGUGUUUGUUAUCGUAUCAAACAUCAAUACUGUACAGGAGACGUGUUGUACCCACAAACUAAAACACCUACAGAGAAUUUGAGAAAAAGUGGGAUGGGAGAGUAGGGGGAGACUCUUCGAAGAAAUGGACUGGAACUUCAGGUAUGCUGGAUGCAGGCACAGGCAGGCAGAGAGAGAGGGAGCGAGGGAGCGAGAGAGAGGGGGAGAGAGGUGAAUAGAGCGCCGUGGUGCUUAUCAUCAUUAAGAAUAUCUGUACGGCCCUGCUUUCUCUGUUCUGGGGCCACGUUGUCUUUGUCCAACCUUGUGUGUUCAUCGCUGCCCUGCAUUGUUAGUUUUAAUGGCUCGUGACUUUCAGUUUGAGUUGACGUUGGAUCCCUGUCCUGCUCCCUGUCGGAUGAAUUUGCUGUGGCGCCUUGGUGCCGAGGAAAAGACCUUUCCUUCUACCUCCUUUGUCUCCUUGGUCUAUCUGUUUUACUACUCUGAUUCUCUAACUUGAUUUUCUAACACUUGGACUUGACCAAUUUGAUAGAAUUAGUUAUAAUACAGUAUAAUUUAUUCAUAAUUUUGUUCUUCCUCAUAAAUCAGUGCUAUUGGUCCUUUUUUACCUCUGCUAGUUUAAUGCCACCUGUUUCCUGAACCUUACCAAAAAACAAACAAACAUUUUUAUCAACAAUUGCUGGUCAAAAAUCCUUUUUCAUUGCUUUCAGACAAAAUGCAUUCAAUUACCACAGUUUUCAAAAUCAACUGAUAAAAACACAUUCAAAUCAGAAUGAUGACAAAUUUCAAAAAAUUCUGCAGUAAUUAUUUUAGAAAUAUAGAAAAUAGAAAGAAAAAUCAGUCCAAGCUAAUUGCAAUUUUAGCUCAAAGCUGAUCCAGGUGUCCUGCUUUACUCUCAUCACCAUGUUUCAGUAAAAGCCAAUAGCUUGGAACUGAUUUUGUUUAGAAAUAUGGAUCACAGCAGACAAUUCUGUGUCUCACUGGUCUCACUGGUCUCACUUUGAGAGGCCGGUCAAAGGGUGCAACCAAAUCUGCACUGCUCAACAGUUGCGUCAAUAGUACAAAUUUUCCAGCAAAACAAGUGAGAUGAUACAUAUUACAGUACAAUACAUAGUCUAAAUGUUGAAACCUGUUACAAUACAGUAACUGUUGUGUUUUAGGACCCAACGUUUGGCUCAGAGAGGAGGGAGAGGCUGAAACCUUUCAGAUGUGCACGAAAACAAAUUAGUUGUUUUGGAGGUUUCAUUAACUGUUUGGCCCAAAUUAAUAUUGAUAAUGAAGAAUAUGUGAAGAGGUUUAAAAGUAUGGUUUCAGCAAUGCUUUUUAGCAAUUGAAAAAAACGGAAAUCUCCCCCUGCUCGUAGCCUCAGGACACUGUUUAUUUUUCAUAUUUUUUACACAGGGCUCAGCAUGAUAGUUAAUGUUAAAAUAUGAGAGAGAAAUAGCGAUCACAAAAGGGAGGUGUGUGUCUGGGUGGGUUCUCUGCUGGUCUGGACUGUAUCAACCUCAGAAAGAGGGAGGAAGAGUGGGAGGAGCUUUGACCAAAAAGAAAAGUUCCUCAGCCAUUGAUGUGGAGCCGCUGUGUGUGUGUGUGUGAGGCAGGGGAGUAGGUCUCAGAUUGGCUGCCUUUGGAUGACGACCGAUGUUCAUUCUGGGCAGAAGAUCCGUCUCUCUCACUCCUUUUCUCCACUUUGUCUGUGUUGGACUUUUUCUCCGUCCUCUCUUCUUUUUGCUCGUUCAGUCAGACAUGUACACACCACACACUCCCAUCCCCCGUCUGUCUCCUCAGAAUGGAAAAAGCAGAUUCACCAACAGGUCAUACCAGGAAAUGAACACAAGCUGGUUUUGCUUGGUACACUGCCAUUAAACUCUAACUUCCUACAAAGUCAUUUUGGCGCUUUUGGUAACUUGGGGCAGAACAUCAAGCUCCAGACACAAGAGUGUGCAUAUAGUAUUUAUAUGGAAUUCUUGUGGUAUGUGUUGUAUCAUAUACAUGUAUAUUGUUUCUUGUUGCGGACAAGUGUAAUAAAUAAAAGGUAGAUUAACUGAUAAAAGGCUUCUGCUCACGGCUUUUUCGUCAUAAAGUUGCUUUAGCUUUUCACCAUGUCAAAAGUAACAUCUUAUUGUUAGUGGUAUUUGAGUUGUUUGAGUUGGCAAGACUCAGCAGUAGAGUAGUGUCCUUCAAUCAGAGGACCAGUGGUUCGAACCCUGGCACCGCUAGUCCAUGUCCUUGGGGAAAGACACUCAACCCCAAAUUACCUGAUGGGCCCUGUCACAAGUGUGUUCGGUAGUGUUAAAGUGCUUUGAGUGGUCGGAGGACACAUGUACAGUCCACUUACCCCAAACAGACCAACCCUGCACAUUAGGCUCCUCCUCAGUUCAGAUGAGGAAAAACGUUUCAGUCAUGAACCAAAGCAUUAGCGUGGGGGCAGACUUACACGCCUCCUCCCUCCCUCCGUUCCCACAGGGUGUGUCAGGGUCCCUCCCCCCCGAGCCAGAGAACUCCGGUGGAAUGUGCAAUGACGACCAAAUGGCUUCACAAGGUUUUAAUGUGCUUCUGUUGUGCGGGAUUGUGUCUUUAUGUCAAAUGAAUCUCCUCAGACUUUUCUUAUUCACAAAUCCAAUUUGAAGCCCGAAGCCAACAAGUGAAACAUUGAACAUAUAAACAGGCAAACAUAUGAGAAACAGAUAGAAAGACAAAGUCGCUCUGAUUUCUAACCUGAGAACUGUACAGCCAGCUGGUCCCCAAUCAGCUAACUGGAAAGGUUGAGUCGCCCGUCUUACAAGAUGUCAAAACCAGUGGUGGAAGAAGUAUCCAGAGGCUGUAAUACUGUCUAGCAACUACGUUGCCGAUCCAGGCGUUGUAGAACUCCUCACACCUCUGGUGAAAAGCGGAGGUCAGCAUAUACAGUAUAUCGUUAUGGGGUGGAAGCAGAAAAUACACGUUGCCGUCUUUCCACAGAAUGUUGUUCACCUCCUUGGAUCUCUGCAGCAGUCCGGUAGCAGCACCGGGGAUUCUGCUUGGUACUUCCACGCUCUGAGAGCUCUCAAUUUUUUAUCACACCCGCACCUGUGUUUGUAAUCUCAGCCAACCAUUUACACCAGUCACUACGAGUGACUAUGGCCGCAAUCGGCGGAGAGUCUCCAUUUGACUGGGUCACCGGAUUAAUUGAAACACCUGCUGCUACCCUGGAGCAGUCGAGACCUCAUCCGGAUUCUGUAGGCUUCUUUUGGAAUUUAGAAUCUGACAACCGAAAGUGAAACAACCCGAAAAAUGUUGUAGAAAAACGGUUUGAAUUGAAUGUUUGAAUGCUUGGUACCUGGUUUGACAGCCGGGGUGAUGUGCCACUUCUGUCGCCAACAUGCGCAAAUAUGUUUCUGAUUUUCUGAUGAUGUCGCCUGUAAAAGGGGGAUACAGGUUGGGAGAAAACAGAAGCUCCCCUGUAAGUUUUCUGUGGUGGGAGAGGGUAAUCAGCUGGAUCCACUUGGGCCUUCCAAGGUACAACAGUUGGUCCAUGCACUCGCUCUGGCUUUCUUCCAACCCCUGGCUCACAGCAUUCUUUUGCAUCUUCAACACCAUCACAGCAAACGUCUUUGCACUGCUUUCAUUGCUGAGCAACUCACUUCAUAGAUUUAGUAUUUUUGAUGUAAAGUAAAUGUUGUGUCUGUACUCCUGUCCCUUGACCCCUGAGCCAGUUUGUAGCAGUGUUGUCUCCUGCCCGAGGAUACGCUCUGAAGGCAAAACAGCAUCUUUGAGUGUUUCGUUCUGCCUCCUCUUGCUUUCCAUACAAGAAACAGGACACCUCCUUCUGUUUCAUAACUCCACCCUUUUGUUCUGAAAAGCCAUGCCCCCUGCUUUCCCCAUUGCUCUACCCUAAGCCACCAUUCUCUCUCUCUCUCUCCCCCCGACACCUCAACAUCUAUCGUGUUUUUCUCUCAGGACCAGCGUCUGCUCACAUUGGCCGAGUUAUCGAGUAUGUUAUCUCAUUCCAGUUCCACCACCAGCAAAGUAGUCCACAAGCAAGACCAGUACUAGUAGUAAUCCCAAUAGAGCACCUUGUCAGAGGAGCUUUGGUGAUCCAGGGUCUGUGUGUGUGAAUGGGAGUUCUGGUUGUAAGAGUGUAGUUUCCCAGUUUGACCACCAGGGGCCGCCAGGACAGGUGGGUCUAUCAAAGUAGAGCUAUUGAGAUCCUUUGAACCAUAAAAACUACAGCAAUCUCUUCCCACUGUCUAACAUAACCUAAUAAUUCUGCAAGAGCUUGUGUCUGUAGUUUUUACGUCACUUGAUCUCCGCCUAACACAGUGAGAUUAAAGUGCAGCUAAAUGUAUACAAUUGUGUAUUAGGAAAAGGCCUAGACUGGUUCCAGACUUUUGAAUCACCGUCUACAUCUUCCCUUUUUUUUGAUAAGCUAUUCGCAUAGGGCUGAUGGCGUGCUCACCGGCGGCCGAACCGCAGAGCCAAUUGGAGUGUCGACGGCGGGAUGAAGGAGUGUGGAUGAAAUUGAAGCAGCUGUACAGGUGGUUGUACGUUAAAGUACCAAAAUAAGAAAUCCCCUGAAAAUGUGGUUGAAAUCUCAUAUCUCUCUUUAAAUGUAUUCGUGAGUAAUUAUACAGCAACCGAAAGUAAAUCACACAAGAGUGAUGCCUAUGUUAUUGUCUAAUUGUGAGAAAGUAACAAUAACAAAAUCAACAAAAUCAACCAACAUAUCAGACAUCAUCUUGAUAUUGAAAUACGUUUUUUGGAAAUUCCUGCAUCAUGUUUGGUGUGGCGGACGUUCCGCACCUUCUUUUUCCCUGUAAUGUCUGUUCGGUACGGAUCAGACUUAAAGGCUAAGACACUUGGCAAUGGUUCAAUCAGAAGUUAAAACCUCACACACCCUUUCACCACCCAAACCACAACACCACACUGCACGAUUGUUGAACGUGACCAGUGUCCAAUAUGGGAAGCAAAUGGGAAAAGUUAAAUAUACAAUGAGGAGGUGCCCUACAAAAGUAGAAAUCACACGUUAGAGAUGAUUAUAGGGUCAUAAUAAAAGACCAGGUCCACCAGAACUGUAUUAACGUUAAAACAAUGAGGUUUACUCUCAGAAAGGAAUGAACAUCUCUAAUAGGGCAGAAGGCACAGUGAAGAUUGGGAGGACUGCCUACAGAGAAAGCAGCAGAGAGGAAACCAGGCCACAUAACUGUUACAGUGUCGGCUGUGAUGAGUAAUCCAUGGUUCUGUAUGUGUGUGUUGGUCCUCUGCAGAUCUCAUCAACUCUCACAGAUUCCAGCAGCUCGUAUGUCUUACUGCUGGUGCAGCCAAUAGGAUGCAACCUGCUUGGGUACAGCGCAAUCAUGGCUGGUCAGUUUCUGCUGUGAUUGGUGGAUAUCUGAGCUCCCGCCCAGCAGCAACUGCUGCUCCAAGGCUUCUUUUCCGACGGGUUUCUCUCAAAGUAAAAAUAUCUCGCUGCUCUUUCCACUGCAAAUCAAACCGUUUGCUCAUGAGGAAGUUUCCUUUUUUUUGUUUGACGCCACUGGCUUGUAACCAAUAAGAUGUAGAAAGAAAACAGGGCUGUCAGGUUGUGUACUUUGGUUAGAUGUUUAGCAUGUAUUUCUCUGCAUAAUAAGAUUAAUCCGAGAAGCAACCAGAGGCCCAUGGGAACUCUGGAGGAGCUGCAAAGAUCCACAGCUGAGGUGGAGAGUCUGUCUUCAGGACAACUAUUAACCAUGUACUCCACAAAUCUGGCCUUUAUGGAAGAGUGGCAAGAAGAAAGCCGCUGUGGAAAGUAAACCGUAAAAAAUCCUGUCUGGAGUUUGCCAUAAGCCAUGUGGGAGACACAGCAAACAUGUGGAAGAAGGUGGUCUGGUCAGAUGGAAACCCAACAUUGCCCAUCACCCUGAGCACACCAUCCCAACAGAGAAACAUGGUGGUGGUAGCAUCAGAGACACACGUUAGUGAUGCCAGUCUGCAGCGGCCAAACUACAAUUUCUCUGAAGAUGGAAUACAAAGAAGCAUUAUAAUGUUGGUUGAAAAAAUGAUAAUUAGAAAGACGACUAAGAAUAAAAGGGGUCAGCAUUGCUGCACUCAAUGACUAUCUACCCAGCUGUUUAGUAUACAUCCCAAUGGACCAUUUUCAAUUACCGGCCUCGAAAAUGGCAGCUUUGGAGCAUCACAACCGAGAGCAAAACAGGAGAUGUUCAGCAUGCUGCUGCGGCUGCUGCCGUAGGGUUCACUGUGCAUCGAACUCAGAGGAGGAUUCACAGCAGGGCCCGUCCACGGAGGCUCAUGGCCUUUUGAAGAGAAAUGGGAAGAUGAUGCAGAUUGAGCUGUAAUUUCACUCAAUGUCUCAAAAAAAAAGUGUAUCCGGAUGUGUCAAAAACAUACGGUUAGACUUCCGCCCGUCUGGGCAGUCUUUUGAGGCACUGCUUGCACUUCUUAGGAGGGAGAAGACCCAUAGCUGGGUCCACCACAUGGAGCUUCUGGACAAAGUGGUCCGCUUCUCCACCCUGUGCUGAAGUAGACAUCUGGCCAAUUGUCCAGCCUUUAGCCAGUGGGGGGGUCACAAGGCCCUGUACAUUGCAGCUCCCGGGGAAGUCAAAGCAAACAUUUCAGUUAACUCCUGUUCUUCCAUAGCAACUUCUGACCCACCAUUGUUUAAGCCCGGCAACCUGAGCGUGUCCUUACACAGUUUUACCAUAUUAACGAUUCUGGUGAAGGUCUUAAGAUGUUUUUUUCUACAAAUGUCCACCAAACAUGACAAUCAGUGCACCUGUCCACGCUCCUGAGGGCAACAAAACUACUUUCGGUUAAGUUUAGUAAAAGAGUGCUCAAAGCCAUACAUUUACAAAUGCUUCUUCUCCAGGCUUGGGUUUUGAAACCUGGGCCCCUGGCUACCGGCUCCCUGACAAGGAGGAAAAUGAGUCCCACCAUAAACAAAGCAGAAGGGGGGCCGCCAUUAACUUUUGUAGUGUGGAGCCCCAGAAAUCCAAUUUAAAACACCACCAUAAAACUUCAAAAACGUGCAGGUCCUAUUCAAGCAGUUCCUCGUCUUCGCCCAUAUGGAGCCAGCCCUGCUAACGGGGCUAAGUGCUAACAGAAAACAGCAGCGAGUUUAGAGGUGUGCAGAUUGGGGGUGGGGGGGGUCGUUAAUAGUGUUUGAGAGUAGCUAAUAUGGAAAGAAGGAUUAUAUAAAAAUUGCUGAGAGGGAGAGAAGAGGGACAUGUAAAGAGGAGAAGAAAGGAAAGGAAGAGGUGACUUGUGGCCCCCCCUGAUGUCAUAGUGGAAACCGCUGGAGGGGGGGCAUUUUAAAACCCCUCCAUAAACACAUUUAGCUGUUUCGGAGUUGCCAGCGCGGCAAGCUGGUAGCUGCUGAUCUUUCGGCCCGAUGUAUGUGCGUUUGUGUGUGUUCAUCAAGGUACUGCUGAGUUGCAUUUAAAGAUGGCCCUCCUCUGGCCUUGUGGUGGGGGCCGAUGCUGGACUUUGUCAUCGAGACUAUUGAGGUCAUACGGCCAGGGUUAAAAGUCUGUCCGGUUAUCAAAGCCGAACUCGUAUGGAUGAAGCCAACCUCCAUUUACAAAGGGUUUACUCAUAGCAUCUAAGAUUGUAUCUUUAUACUCUGAAUUCAAAGAUCUGAGAAUGAAGCGACACAGCUGUCUUAUAGUCUGACCGGUAAGAAACUAGUUUAGUCAGAUUACUAAAAGCGCUUUGUUUUAUGGUUUAUUUCAAAUUUGUGCGCACCUUAAAUGGAAACGUCUUUGCACACAUAACUGUUGUAAAGGUCAAAACUGGACGUUGGUCCGUAAACUUUGAUGGUUGAAAGGCUUUGGAUUAAGAGGGUUAUAAGACAGACAGUCCGUCUGUCCAAUCAGAAGGGUCCGUCCUCUGCUAUCUGCUAUAAGGCCCUACCCUUUCCGUAAAAAGUUAAUGUCGUUGUGCUUUCCUAUUUGCCGUUGUGUUUUGCACUUCAGGGCCACCGUAAGUUCGUCAUCCACGUGAAAACAAAAAGGCAACUUUGAUGUUUUUGUCAAGUCAAGUUCUAUACUUCUAAUACGGCACUUCAGUGGUUAUGUUAACACAAUCUGUUUUGUUGCCUAAAUUUAACUCAGUUCCCUGAUUCCCAAGGAUUAUUUAGAAAAAGACACAUGAAAUACGUGGAGAUGGAAAUGUAUUUUUGGCACUGCAGAAUAAAUGACAUCAUAAGAUGUCUAUUGUAUUGUUUUGGAAUUGUAUUGUAUUGGAAAGGUUCAACUGUAAGGUUCAACUAUAUAAAAUGUUGUGGAAUAUUACAAAAUAAUAAAAAAAUUAAAAAGAUUCUGGGAAAAUCAAGAAGAGUAUGAUCAGAGAGCAAAUAAAGGUACAUACAUACUGGAUUCCCAAUAGGGUGAGAGAAAUGCAUGCUGGUUUCUCUCUCUCUCUCUCUCUCUCCAUCGCUGACUUUACACAAACAGUAACAGCCCAAUAAGAGGUUUUGGUUUCAAGAAAGCAGUAAACGCACCAGGUAUCCCACCAUGCUCACCGCUUCUCUUUCUUGAUCUUUUGAUGUGUAAAAAACCCGCCGCCGCCAGCAACACCAGGCAUGGUGAGAGUGCACACGCACGUGCACACCUGAAUCAGUCCCGCUUUAAAGAGAUGCUUGGUGCUAAAAGGUACAGAACCGUGUUGUAGCAGUGAUUGAAGGAUGUGAAUAUAUCCCUCGCCACUUCUUUUUGAUGAUUAGCACACUUUCACCUUACCCAGAAUGCCUUGCAUCAACAAGCUGAAUAGAGAGCCAAAGACCCAUCUGUUCUUUGUUUUUAGUAAAAGCUUUGAUUCAAACCUUUUGUGAUGUACCAGGUCCCAAAUCACAUUUGGGAAAACCCUUUUCAUUUUUCUAUGCAACACAUAGUCAAUGUGUCAAUGUAUGGGGCAUUUGGUUUUUAAUAAAUAAUUCAUGAUUGUUGUUUGGAAAUAUAGCAAUAAUAAACUAACUAUUCCUCAAAGACAGAAGCUGUUUCUCCUGUUUUCAAUGUAACUUGCAGUUUAUUUGGUCUGAGUGAAAUUAAUUCUCGACCUUUAGGAUCCCUUCCACAUUUCUUGCUAUCAGAGUCAACAGGAGCUACUUACAGCUUAUGUAUAUUCCUUUACAGUGUAUCAUUUUGUAAUAUUGAAAUAUUAUUUAUUUUUCCAUAAGCAAAGUUGGCUUUCUGCCUCUUCCUGCACCGAAAACGUAUUAUCUUUGCUCUGCUUGUUAUAUGUAAAAAUAAAACUCAAGACAGCUGUUUUGAACCGAGUUUUAUAGAAGUUUUCUUUUAAAAGAGGAGAACCUGUGGUUGUGAUGUCAAUGGUAGCUUUGUGAAUGUCAGCUUAAACACACAGCGCCUCUCUUCUGUUCACCGUUUGACAAAAUGAAAAGGUCGGAGGCUUUUAAACGCCUUGACACACCUGCUGCCAAAGGCAAAAUAUGUUAAAAGCAGAGCGGCAAAGUAGAAUAGGAGCAAGUUACGCGUUGACCAACGGUUUUGAGUUUUUAUUCCCAUAUGUAGUGGUUGAGAGCGCAUUUCAGAAUAAAAAAAGUAUUUUCUUUGUAAUAAAAGUGAAGAACGAAAGAAAGAGACCGGCAAUCGAUGCGCACACAGGCGCAUACACAACUUGUCACGAUCGCUGAACCCAAGGACCAUCGGUUCCCCAACACACACACACACACACACACACACACACACACACACACACACACACACACUCAAAGGGAGUCUCUAAUUUGAUGUGUAUUUAUAGCGGUCUGAGUGGCCUCCAUGCCACGGUGGAUGGAGAAAAAUGUAGAGGCGUGAUUACAUGCUGCUAUUCCCGGCCUUCUCACUCCCUUCCUGUGACUAGCACACUGAAUCGUUGGAGUCUUUUAUUCUGAAAAGAUACAUGUCGUAAACUGCAUUGGUAGCAGUGAUUCAGUUACUAAUAACAUCGUUUGCAACACAAUUAGAAUGUAUGUAAGCACUUCAUUGUUACCAAUUGAAUACAGAAAGUAUAACGUGUCAUAAUUCCUACUCUUUUAUAAUUAUUUUUUGUCUUUUUUGUUAAUGUGAAGUGGUGGAGCAUGGUCGUUCUUCAAUCGGAGGAUUGGAGGUGUGUGAUUGCCGUGAAUGUUAGUUGGAGCGCCUGCAUGUUAGUGAUUUGGUAUGUAAAGGUGCUAUGCAAAAAAAGAGUAUGGACGUCCAGAUGGUGGGAGUAGAACUGGUGUUUAAAUGUUCCAGUCAAGGUGGUUGGAGCAUCUAAUUAAGAAGACUUUCCUGUCCAACUGUGUAGAAACCAAAGGACAGACCUGGAACACACUGGAGGGCAUGCAUAUCUGUCCCAUGACAUCUUCUCAUCCCUCAAAGAGGAACUGGAGGAGACAAAAAAUUGGGGACAAAAUGUUCUAAUUCAGACAAUAAUGAGCAGACUUGCUUGCAAGGUGUGUGUGGGUGUAUGUGUGUGUUUCUGUGACACCUGGCCUUGUCCAAAAUUCCAUUGGUGACCUGGUUUACAAAGAUAUCAGCGUUACAUUUAGGGAAAUCGCCACAGACACUGACAGCUACACACACACACAUAUUAUGCACAGACUCACCUCUACUGUCACCUUACAUCAUUCUUUAUCGUCUGCUAACACCCAAAAGUGAAAUUCAUCUGCUUUCUACCCUCGACUCCAGCCUUAUUGCAUAUUUUCUAUAAACAGAUAUCUGCAUUUAAGUGUCAAAUCGGUCAAAAGUAAGAUAUUCGUUUGUAGUGCGAUUAGUACCAAUCACGUUUGAGCUAGCUUUGUUCGCCUGCGUCUCUGUGGAGAGCAAUGAAAGUGAUUAUAGGCUCACUUUGAUUGAGCAUUUUGAUAACUUACAUCUGCAUGCAGGUAUCUAUUUAUAAACAUCAGUGGACAUUUUAACCCCUUUUUCUCGCUAAUCUGAAGAUGACACAUGAGAGGAAGUCUAGGUUUCCGAUAUUGUAUGUUGGAAACUUGGAAAUAUUGUCUAUUGUCCGCAGAGACUGAAUGGUCAUUCGGCCAAUAGCAGCUACAAAAAAGCUAAGAUGGCCUCCUUCAAUUUGGACAUUUUGAAACACAUGUACAAAUCAACACACACACGUAAGCACGCAGAUAAGAGUAAGUCCUCCAGUGCUCACAUUGGCCACCGUUCCAUGGUGGGAAAAAAGCAGCAGGUUUUUCAAUCAGGCAGCCAGCUGACACACACACACACACACACACACACACACACACACAAACACAUUUCUGAGUCACACACAAGCAAUUUUUCCCAGUUUAGAUACUGUUCUGUUGAAAAAGAAUUAUCAAUUCAGCAGUGCCCCCCUAUGAUAUUGUAAGACUCACAAUGGAUGGUUAUUUUGAAGACAAAAAAUGAACCGCGCUUUGUUCUUCUCCAGCUGAAUAAUGCACAAUGUAAUUGUUAUUUGUAAAAACAAUGAGCCAUAAUUUGAAUGAGGAGAUCAAAUGCUACUCGUUCUCGCCUUGACCAAAGCAGAUGUGAUCCUCUUUUCUGACAAUAAAGCGCAAGACAUAGAAAAUCAUUUUUCUGUGGGUUGUUUUAUUCCUUCGUCAAGGGUCUGAUGUGUAAAGGCCUUUUAUUCUUCUUUCAUUUUGUGUUUUUCACACUAUCAACCAAUCACAUGUAGAAUAAAAAGCAUUUGUUGAGGACUGUUUUUUGGAAUUGAUUGAUACACAUUUUUGUGUUUUAGGCACAGGGAAGUUCUAUGAAGUUCAAAGCAAACGGCAGAAGAACAUGUCAGCCAGUGCAAAGGUCGAGCUCAUAAACUGGAGCUCUACGGCACCAAAGGGAUGAGACGUAUCAUGACGUACAGUAUGUCCGUUGUUGCCUUUUGGGUUUUUGAUUUUUGGUUUUGACAAAAAAAAGUGGAAAGAAAAGGUCAGUUAUAAAAUACCAUGCAUGUGAGCUGCCCUGAGUGUCUGUGUAGUUUCACCCUUAAAGAGAGGAGAAAUCUUCUGACCCCUCAGUUAUUAUUGUCCUCUGUGUGUCUCUCGUUUUCUUCUUGUCUGCCCCGACCGUCCUUUAAUCGGGAAAACCCAACAACGCAUGAUCACAGGGCAAGGCGGUGUUGAGUGUUUGCGUGUGUGUUGGGAUUUAGGAUUGACCUUGUGACUUCUCUCCAUCUAUAAUGUGGCAGAUCCAUCUCAAGGUGGAAUGAAAAAAACAAACUACCCUUCCCUCACCUGUAAGUGUAAGUCCUCUCCUCGUCCUCAUAAACACAAAGAAACACACACACACCGUUUCCUGUGGGUGAACCUUCAAUCAUACGAAAAUAACAGGGGUGUCACGGCGAUCAUAAAACCACGUAUAUUUCUCCCCUCUGCUUCCAUAAUGUCACAUAUUACAGACCAAACGGCAUCAUGGGAAACACCUGCUUCAGAGCACACAGGUGGAGGAAGAGGGUAGGCCUGGGUGUGGGGGGGUGCAGGAGGAACUAGAGAGGGGAGG